rnacentral:rRNA from 1 species
CCCGCUGAACUUAAGCAUAUCAAUAAGCGGAGGAAAAGAAACUAACAAGGAUUCCCCUAGUAACUGCGAGUGAAGCGGGAAAAGCUCAAAUUUAAAAUCUGGUGGCCUUUGGCCAUCCGAGUUGUAAUUUAGAGAAGCGUCUUCCGCGCUGGACCGUGCACAAGUCUCCUGGAAUGGAGCGUCGUAGAGGGUGAGAAUCCCGUCUUUGGCACGGACGCCCAGUGCUUCUGUGAUGCGCUCUCGAAGAGUCGAGUUGUUUGGGAAUGCAGCUCAAAAUGGGUGGUGAACUCCAUCUAAAGCUAAAUAUUGGCGAGAGACCGAUAGCGAACAAGUACCGUGAGGGAAAGAUGAAAAGCACUUUGGAAAGAGAGUGAAACAGUACGUGAAAUUGUUGAAAGGGAAACGCUUGAAGUCAGUCACGUUGGCUAGAAAUCAGCCUUGCUCUUGCUUGGUGUACUUUCUGGUUGAUGGGUCAGCAUCAAUUUUGACCAUUGGAUAAAGGUCAUUGGGAAUACUCCCUGUGUAGUAAUACAGUGGUUGGGAUUGAGGAAUUCAGCACGCCGCAAGGCAGGGUUUCGACCACAUUCGUGCUUAGGAUGCUGGCAUAAUGGCUCUAAUCGACCCGUCUUGAAACACGG